rnacentral:rRNA from 1 species
GACGAACGCUGGCGGCGUGCUUAACACAUGCAAGUCGAACGGAAAGGCCCUGCUUUUGUGGGGUGCUCGAGUGGCGAACGGGUGAGUAACACGUGAGUAACCUGCCCUUGACUUUGGGAUAACUUCAGGAAACUGGGGCUAAUACCGGAUAGGAGCUCCUGCUGCAUGGUGGGGGUUGGAAAGUUUCGGCGGUUGGGGAUGGACUCGCGGCUUAUCAGCUUGUUGGUGGGGUAGUGGCUUACCAAGGCUUUGACGGGUAGCCGGCCUGAGAGGGUGACCGGCCACAUUGGGACUGAGGUACGGCCCAGACUCCUACGGGAGGCAGCAGUGGGGAAUAUUGCACAAUGGGCGGAAGCCUGAUGCAGCAACGCCGCGUGCGGGAUGACGGCCUUCGGGUUGUAACCCGCUUUCGCCUGUGACGAAGCGUGAGUGACGGUAAUGUGUAAAGAAGCACCGGCUAACUACGUG